AAAACGGCCCUUUUCAGGGCCACAAUAAUUUACAUAAAGAGCAUA
rfam:Phlebotomus papatasi Contig56762.1, whole genome shotgun sequence.